CCUUUCCCACUGGCUCAGCUCUUUACUGCUCCAAUUAUUUGUGCUAUUUGUGAUCACUGAAUCGGGUUUUUAUUUGCCCCAAAGGCCAAAACACUAGUAAGAGUAAUCUAGAUUUUCAGGAUGACUUAGGCACAGUGGUGCUAAAACAUGGUCUCUUAGGGAGUCAUAUUCCACCUUGUUCUGAGCAUGGAAGAGCACCUGAAAGAAGGCGUUUAUGUAUUUAACAAAUACUUCCUGAGUAUCCCUGCCUGACGCUGCACUGAUGCUGGCCCCCUGGCUCGUCCUCGUGGAGCCUACAGUUUAAUGAGAAAAGGAGAAGUUCAACAAACCCAAGAAAAUACUUUUAUGUAUACAUCUGUCUGAGGGAACGGCAUGCCAGCUCUGACACGAGGGCAGGAAGGAGGUGCCAGUCAGAGGGCAGAGGAUGCCUCCCUAGGCCGCACGGUCAAGGUCUGGAAGAAAAGGCCGGUGAGCCAGGAGGAGACCGGGAAAGUAAACAUACACGAGGCCCAAAGGCACCUGGCACCAGGGGUGAAUAGGUCAGCUACGCACCAUCCCACGGGAUGUAGAUUCUUGCCUCCUACCACUGGCGAAAAGAAUGGGAAUCCUGUCUUCCUGAGAAACCACUUUGAAGAUACCACCAUGCAUUACAGCAGUCAUUGUUAUU